rnacentral:rRNA from 1 species
GACGAACCGUGCGAACGUUGUUCGGAAUCACUGGGCGUAAAGCGCGUGUAGGCGGCCCGAUAAGUCCGCUGUGAAAGUCCAGGGCUCAACCCUGGGAUGCCGGUGGAUACUGUCGGGCUCGAGUCCGGAAGAGGCGAGUGGAAUUCCUGGUGUAGCGGUGAAAUGCGCAGAUAUCAGGAGGAACACCAAUGGCGAAGGCAGCUCGCUGGGACGUGACUGACGCUGAGACGCGAAAGCGUGGGGAGCAAACAGG